AUGGAGUUGAAGAUAUGGAAGGAGUUAAAGAUAUGGAAGGAGUUAAAGAUAUGGAANNNNNNNNNNAAAGAUAUGGAAGGAGUUAAAGAUAUGGAAGGAGUUAAAGAUAUGGAGGAAAUAAAAAAAAAACUGCAGCUAACCUUUAAACAUAACGAUGAUAAUAUAAAUGAUUUUAUGUAUGUAAAAGAAGCAGACGUUGAUGAAAAAAAUAGGCCCUUAAAAAAAAACAUAACGAAAUUAAAGGUAGAAGACGAAGUGGAUGGAUUUGUUAAAUACAUUAAUGAAGAUGGAGCAUAUAUAGAUAUAGGUUGUAAAACACUUGCAUUUUUAAACCUCGGUCAUUAUAAUAAAGAUCCACGACAAUUUUUUACUCAUACCCCAAAAAAAAAAAAAAUACAAAUAAAUGAUCAUAUAAAAAAUUUAAAAGUGAGAAAGAUUGAUAUUUUGAAUAAUAGGAUUGAGGUUAGUAUGUAUACUAUGCAAGAAGAAGCUUGUUUACGUAUAUUAACUGAAAAAGAGACAAUAAAUGAACAAAAUAAAUAUAUCCCUUGUCCAAAUUAUAUUAUAUAUAACUAUCACAUGAUUAAUUAUAUAAAAAAACUAAACGAAUUAAAAAAAAAAAAAAAAAAAAAUUUAACUAAUAAUGAUAAAAAUAUAAAUAUACAUAAUUUAUUUGAAAAAAAAGAGCAUCUAAGUGAAAUGAAAAAAGUAAAAGAAUUAAAAAAAAGUCAAUUAAAACAAUUUGUACUUACAUAUAAUGAAUUAAAUUCACCUAGUACGAAUUAUGAAACAAUGAUGGAAGAUAAUAAAGAUAAUAUAGAGUUCCAAAAAGAAAUUGGAAAUAAAAUAAUUAAUCAAAUAAAUAAAAAUAAAAUAGAUUUACAUUAUCUAAGAAAACAAAAUAAACAACUAAAAGAAGAAAUAAAUUAUGCUACUAAUUAUGAACAUUCAGAAGAUAUAAAUAUAAAAAAUGAAUCAAAUGAAAAGAAUAAUAUAAACAAUUUUAUAAAUAAAUAUGAUUCUUAUUUUGAUACAUAUACACGACCAGAAUCAAGUGAAGAGAUAAAUCGGGGUAAAUCCGAGGAUGAUACAUAUGGUGAAAACAUAUACGGCAACGACAUAUACGAUAACGACAUAUACGAUAACGACAUAUACGGAAACGACAUAUACGAUAACGACAUAUACGAUAACGACUUAUACGGUAACGACUUAUAUGAUGAAAAAGCAAAUAAAGAUAAAAUAAAUAAACAUAAUUAUAAUCAUACUGAAAGUGAUAGUAACAAAUCUACUUUAUUAUAUUUAAAAAAAAAUAUAUCAAAAAUAAAAAGAAGUGUAUUAGAUGAAUAUAAUAAUAACAAUAAUAAUACGAAUGGGUUGAAACAAAAAAAUUACACAACUGGUGAUAUUAACAACGUUGAUAAGAAUGUUAAAAAUAAAAAUAACAAUAUAACACAUGAACCAGUUUUAAAAAAUCUGUUUGGAAAAAGGAAAGUUAAAAAUGUAGAUAAAAAUUAUAAACACGCAAAUGUAAAUCAACUUAAUAGGAUAAAUGACUAUCAUGACUAUACUGACGAAAUACAAACAAGUAAUAAAAAUAAUACAUCCUAUAAAGGAAAAUUGAUGGAAACUUAUUUAAAUGAUAUAAGAGAUGGUGAGGAAGAGGAGAAGGAAGAAGAAGAAGAAGAGGAGGAGGAGGAGGAGGAGGAGGAGGAGGAGGAGGAAGAGGAAGAGGACGAUAUUGAAAACGUGGAUGUCGAACAAACAAAAAUAAAAAAAAUAUAUGAUUAUCUGUUGCCUAAUGUAAAUAAAAAAAAAUUACCUUUUGAGCAUGCUACUGAUAUUGAAUUUGACCAGAGUAAUAGUGACAUAAAUAAACAGGAUAUGGAAAAAGAGGAUACGGAAAAAGAGGAUAUGGAAAAAGAGGAUACGGAAAAAGAGGAUACGGAAAAAAAUAACGAAGAUUCAUUUUUUGACAUAAAAGAUGAACUGCAAUAUAUUUUGAAUCAGAAUAUAAAUAUGAACGUCGCACAUAAUGAGGAAAAGUGUAUAGAAGAAGCAUCAAAAUUAUUUGGAGAAGAUAUAAAAACAUGGUAUGAUAAAAUGUAUUAUUACUUUGGUAGUCCUGACAAUGUAUCACUAGAUAAUUUACAAAUCUAUGACGAUGAAGAAUAUAAAAAAGGAAUAAAUAAUACACAGAAUAAUGAUUUUUCUGAUUAUGAGCAAAUAUUAAAUAAAAAUUCAUGGGAUGUUGAUAAUGAACAUGGUUUUAUAACAGCCAAUUAUGAAGAUACUAUAAAUGACAUGACUACUACUACUACUACUACUACUAAUAAUAAUAAUAAUAAUAAUACUACUACUAAUAAUAAUAAUAAUAAUACUACUACUAAUAAUAAUAAUAAUACUACUACUACUAAUAAUAAUAAUAAUACUACUANNNNNNNNNNUAAUAAUAAUAAUAAUAAUAAUAAAAUGAAUACUAUUCAACAAUCUGAUAGUAUUGGUAAAUUAGAAAUAGAACAACCAAACCUAUUGGAAGAAAAAACAAAAAAUACAUCCAUAUCGGUUGAUAGUACUUCAAAUGAACAAAAUGUAAAUGAACAACAUGAGAUUGAUCAUUAUUUGGAAACGUUUUUUAGUGACAGUCAACAUAAACAUAUACAUCAGGAUAUAUUCGAUGGUGUGCAGAAUUUUUCACAGAAAGUACAUAAUAAUUUGUCACAGGAUGUACAUAAUAAUUUUUCACAUUUAUUGCAUGAUACUAUGGUAUAUGACGCAAAUGAUCGUACAAAUAUAAAUAAAAAAAAUAACACAGUAGAGAAAAAACCAAUUAAUGGGUGCUCAAAUUUUACAAGAGCUAAUGUAAUUACCGAAAAAAAUUUACAUAAAUUCGCAGAUGGACAGAUAGAAAAGUCUGAAAAUGAUGAAAAUGAUAAAAGUGAUGAAAAUGAUAAAAAUGAUGAAAAUGAUAAAAAUGAUGAAAAUGGAAAUAUAAACAUAGAUGAUAUUAUUAAAAAAGCCAUAAACAUUAGUAAUGUAUUUAAACAAAGAGAAAUAAAAAAAUUGUUAAAAGAAAAAAAAAAAAAAAAAAAAAAAGAAGAAGGUGAUGAUGAAUCAAGAUAUAAUGUUAAUGCAAACUUUAGCAAUGAUGUUGUAACUACUGCUCCCACUACUUCUACCGACCAUCAAACAAACAAAACUUACAAAAACGAUGAAAAAAUAACGAAAAAUGCAAAACAAAAGGAAAUAAACAACUAUAACAAAACAAUUAAACAUGAACAAACCAUAGAAAGUAUAGACAGUAUUGAAACGAAUUCCAUACCUACUUUAAACGUACACGAAAAGGAUGAACUAAAAGCAUACAAACAUGCAUCAUAUGAAGUUCAAGGAUAUUACAAAAGAAAAAGAAAAAUAAAAAGCAUAAACGAAUUAAAUGACAUACACAUAGAAGAUGCUAAUGAUCAAAUAAUAUUAAACGAUGAAGAUAUACUGAAUAAUACAACACAUGAUAAUAACAACAGUAAUGAAAACACAGAUACAAUUAACCACUCAAAUGUGAAUAAAUCAAUUUUUAAUGUUAACAGUUAUGAAAAUUUAUUACUUUUACAUGGUAAAUAUAAUAAUAUUAUUGAAAAUAAUUACUUAGAAAAAAUAUUAAAAAAAGAAAAAAAUAGUAAUGAAAAUAUAAGCAAAGAUAUAGAUUUAUUAAUUCAAAAUUAUAAAUAUGCAAACAUAGAUCCCGAUGGUUUUAUUACAUCUUUUUACAAUUCCAAGAUAAAUGAAAAAGAUACUACAAAGGAGUUUGAUAUGGUCAAGUCUGGCUCUAAAAUUGGCUCUAAAUCUGACACUGAUCUUAUGAAAAAAUCUAUUACGAAUAUACCAAAAGAAAAUGAAAAUAUAUCAAAGACAGUUCAAAUUAGUAAUACAAGUACAAAUACAACAAUAAUACGCGAGGUCAACAGUUUUACAAAUAAUUUGAUGGAUUUAAAAAUGUGGCUAGUACAAUUAGGAUUACUCAAACAAAGUGAUAUACACCUAGAAAGUAAUGAAAUAAUUAAAAAAUUUCUUAAAAAUCCUAAAUUCAAAAGAGUUUUAAAUUUGUAUAAUAUUAAACCAAAAGAUAUAACUAUACCUCUUUUUUAUAAAAUAACAAAGUUGUUAUAUUUCGAAAGGCCUUUUCCUCGGAAAGAAAAACACUACAAACUAAAAAUGGAUUAAGGGCGAGUUAAAGGGACAACAUAACUAAGUCCAUUUUUUUUUUUUUGUUAAUAUGUGAUAAUUCAUGCUUACAUUUUUUCAUAUAUUGUUGUUGUUGUUUUUUUACAAAUGUUUUAAAAUUAUGAACGUACAAUUAAGAACAUGUAUAUAUUGUAAUACUGUUUCCUAUUUAAACUUUAAAAGAAAUAAUAGAUUUCAAAAAUUGAAAAAAUAAACGUAUGUAAUAGUAAAAAAAAGUAAAUUCA
rnacentral:lncRNA from 1 species